UCAGGAUGAACGCUAGCUACAGGCUAACACAUGCAAGUCGAGGGGUAGCAGGGUAGCAAUACCGCUGACGACCGGCGCACGGGUGAGUAACACGUAUACCAACCUUCCCAUAACUCAGGGAUAGCCUUUCGAAAGAAAGAUUAAUACCUGAUAGUACUUUUUCAAGGCAUCUUGAGAAGGUUAAAGAUUUAUUGGUUAUGGAUGGGGAUGCGUUCCAUUAGAUAGUUGGUGAGGUAACGGCUCACCAAGUCUUCGAUGGAUAGGGGUUCUGAGAGGAAGGUCCCCCACAUUGGUACUGAGACACGGACCAAACUCCUACGGGAGGCAGCAGUGAGGAAUAUUGGUCAAUGGGCGAGAGCCUGAACCAGCCAAGUAGCGUGAAGGAUGAAGGUCCUAUGGAUUGUAAACUUCUUUUAUAGUAGAAUAAAGUGAUCCACGUGUGGAUUUUUGUAUGUAUACUAUGAAUAAGGAUCGGCUAACUCCGUGCCAGCCGCAGC
rnacentral:rRNA from 1 species